ensembl:lncRNA
CAUGGGUAAUGUCAUGCCGGUGGUACAUAUUUUGAACAGUUGAUGCCUUAAGGUAAUCAAACCAAGCAUUAGGGCAGGGCAUAGUGGCUUGUGUCUGUAAUCCCAACGCUUUGGGAAGCUAAGGCAGAAGGAUCACGUGAGGCCAGGAGUCCGAGACCAGCCUGGGCAACAUAGCAAGACCCCAUCUCUACAAAAAAAUAAAAUAUUGGCCAGGCAUGGUAGCACACACCUAUAGUCCCAGCUACUCCAGAAGCUGAAGCAGGAGGAUGUUUUGAGCCCAGGAGUUCCAGGUUAUAGUGAAUUAUGACUGGGUCACUGCACUACAGCCUGGUUGACAGAGCAAGAUGCUGUCUCAAAAAAAAAAAAAAGAAAGAAAGAAAAAAACAAACAAAAUAAACAAGCACUAGUUAGCAUUAGCACACUCUGGUCAAAAUAUUUUUUAAGUUAUAAAUUUGUGUGUCUUUAAAUUGCUUAUUUACAUAUUAUUAUAACCAUUUGUGUAAUUCAAGAAAUUUAUAUUUACUUUAAUCCUCACACUAAACCUGUUUGGUUCCUUGGUCCCAAUUAAGAGACGAAGCAACUGAGACUCGGGAAAAUGAAUGUUUACCCAAAGCCACGUUGCUGGUGAGGGCAGAACGGAGAUUAAACCAGGACUGGCUGACUCCGGAAGUCUUUCCACUCCACCACGCAGCUUCCUUAAAGAUCACCCAGCCCCACCUUCUCAUUCUACUGAUGACAAAACUAAGAUCCCAAAAAGUAGGUGACUCCGUUGUAUAACAUGGCCAGUGAGUGCCGAAGCUAGUUGUAAAGCUCAAAUCACCAGUUCAAUUAUUUGUCUCCCGGGGCCUGCGGUACCCACCUUGUAGGAUGUCCUCAUCCUCCAGUCAGAGACCACAGGAACACACCUGCAGCUGGACAAGUCCAGUUUAUCACGCAUUGCAGCCAAGGAAAGCACACUCCAUCGGGGAGCGUGGAGUGUCCCAGUAAGAAGGUGUUCUAAAGGACUUAGUCAAGGGUUUGGGCAUGUGUUAGGUGGUUUGAGGAAGGCGAUGCUCCAGAUUGGAUGCUGUCAGGAAGCAAGGGGAACACUGUGACUCGCUAUCUUAAUACCUCUUACCUAGGAGGAGGGAAACUGCACUCAGGCUAAAGCUGUAAGUGGCCAAGACACAGCCCCGUUGUCUGGGAGAAAGCUGAUUCGUCCUCUAUUGCUUUGUAGCAAAUGACCACAAACUUAGUGCCAUAAAACACCACCGAAGUGUUCGCUCCAUUUCUGAAGAUACUACAGGACUGAAGUCUAGCAGUGGCAUGGCUGGAUUCUCUCUCAGGCUCUCACUGGGCUGGGGCUGCCAUUGUCUUCUGGGCCCUGGAUCCUUUUCCAGGCACACUGGCUGCUGGCAGAAUUCAUUUCCUAGCAGCUAUGGGACUGAUGAUGUCCCCAUUUUCCUUCUAGCUGAAGGCCAGGGCCUGCUGUCAGCUCCUAGAAGCUCCCUGCAGUUGUUGCUGCUUGGCCCCCGUUAACAGUUCCCAGGAUGGAGUUUGCUUUCUUUCAGGCCAGCCCGCGUGUGUCUCUCUAACUUCCUCUUCUGUGGCCAGCUGGAGAAAACUGUGUUUUUAAAGGGCUCAUAUAAUUAGGUCAGGCCCACCUGGAUAAUUUCCCUUUUUUUUUUUUUGCCGCCCAGUGGCUCAUUACAGCUCACUGCAGCCUCAACCUUGCUGGACUCAGGUGAUCCUCCCACUUCAGCCUACCCAGUAGCUGGGACUACAGGCAAGUGCCACCAUGCCUGGCUAGUUUUUUCUUUGUAUUCUUUUGCUGCUCAGGCUGGUCUCGGACUCCUGGGCUCAAGCAAUCCUCCCACUCAGCCUCCCAACGUGCUAGGAUUACAGGCAUGGGCCACCAUACCUGGCCUAAUUUCCCUGUGUUAAGGUCAAUUGAUUUGGGAUGUUAAUUAUAUCUGUCAAUUCCCUUCACAGCAGUAGCUAGAGUAAUGUUUGCUAAGUAACUAGGGGUAGGUGCGGGUACACCAGGGGCCAGGAAUCUUGCGGGCAGCUUACAAUUCUACCCACCACAGGGGUAUGCCUGGUAUUCUGUGACUUGGGCAAUGUUCCUGUAUCAUCUAUGUUCCAGCAUGAUUAGGGAGGGGUCUUGUUUUUGUCUUAAUCUGUAGUGGUCCCAGCGUGACCUUAUCUGAUGUUGAUGUUGUAUGAAAUUUGUUGUUCAACAGGCCUUGCUGACAGUCCCAAGCCAGCUCUCGGAUGUCAGGGACUGCUCUCUCCUUCUCACGGGAAAGAUGCCAGUGACAUUUGUAGGAAAAAUGGGCAGAGACAGUGUUGCAGGACUUUUCCUUAGUUCAGCUAAAGAUGGGGUUCUUUGUCCCAUGGCCAUGAAAAUUCAGGCUUGCAGACAAUUUGAAUGGUGAGUAAGGCAGGGUUUUAUUGGGUGAAAAGGAGAAAAAAAAAGGGGUGGGGAACAGGGACUGUGCAAGGCCAGAGUCCCUGCUAGAACACUUCCUGAUGCAGCUUGAAUUCCAGGUUCUACACAGGAAGAGGAGGGACCAGGCUCCUCCCUGCUGCAAAUGGAUCAAACUUCCCAAAUCUCCACCCCAGUGGGCAGGCUGGUUGGAUUUUCUCCAGGAACCGUCUCCCACCUGGCUGUCUCAACAGGAAGAGCAGUUCCCAGGAGAGAAAACGCAGGUAGCUAACAGACACAUGAAAAGAUGUGCAAUGUCUCUGGCAAUGAGCAAAAUACAAAGUAAAACAACAAUGAGAUGUUCUUAUGAGAGGUGAGGCCAAUUGGACGUCCUGGGUUGAGUGGGGACUUUGAGAACUUUUCUACCUUACAAGAGGAUUGUAAAAUGCACCAAUCAGUGCUCUGUAAAAAUGCAGCAAUCAGCACUCUGUAGCUAGCAAGGGCAUCGUAAAAUGCACCAAUCAGCGCUCCGUAAAACGUACCCAUCAGUAGGAUCCUAAAAGUAGCCAAUCGCAGGGAGGAUUGAAAAAAUCACACUCUGAUAGGACAAAAAUGGAACAUGAGUGGGGACAAAUAAGGGGAAUAAAAGCUGGCAACCCCAGCCAGCAGCAGCAACCUUCGUGGGUCCCCUUCCAUGCUGUGGAAGCUUUGUUCUUUCACUCUUCACAAUAAACCUUGCUACUGCUCGCUCUAUGGGUCUGUGCCAUCUUUAAGGGAUGUAAUAUUCACUGUGAAGGUCCACGGCUUCAUUCUUGAAGUCAGCGAGACCACCGGAAGGAACCAGCUCUGGACACACUCAGACCCAUCAGAUUGGCAAAACAUCAAAACACUCAUCAGGCAAAGAUUGGGAAAGAUGAAGAGAAACAGGAAAUCCCAUACUGCAUAUCAGAGUAUAAAUUUGUAGGACUUUGCAAAGCAAGUUGGCAACAUCCAGUUCAGCUGCAAAUGUGCAUACUCUGAUCUGCCAGUUUAAAAUCUGUAAAUGGCCUGAAGAAAUUAUUACAUGUAAGCCUAAAAAGACAUGUACAAGAAUGUUGAUUGUACAUAACAGAAACAGAACAAAA